GGCCAGUCUUGCAUUGCGCUAUUUGCCUAUGUUAGGCUUGGUCAUCCGUAGAGGAAUCCAGUUCGGCCUUGACUGGUCGGCUAGUGGAAUCUACAAUUUACUGUGAAAAAAUUAGAGUGUUUCAGGCAGGCAAUCGCUUGGAUACUCCAGCAUGGAAUAAUGGAAUAGGACUUUGGUCUAUUUGUUGGUUUGAGAUCAAAGUA
rnacentral:rRNA from 1 species